rnacentral:piRNA from 1 species
UUGGAAGUGUGUGUGUAUAUGUAUAUAG